GUGCGGGCGAUAAGAUUACGUAAUGUAGGUAACUCGAUACAACGGCGCCGAAACGAUCAAGAAGGCUGUAAAUGCCGGCGGGCUCAGUCACACAGGCCUUCAAAGAUUAUGGCGCCGCACUUACUAAACCACCAACUGAACUAGAUGGAACUUAGUGGUGUGAGAGCCUGGGUAAUUGUGGUCAGAAUGGGGUGUAUCAACCUAUAACAGAUUCAUUAAAUAGUAAGAUGUCAAUUGAGCGGAAAUCUCAAGGAAAGUCCGAGAAAGCGAAGUAACACAAGAAGCUAUAGAUGGUUUUCAUAGGGUAUCUUAAUUUUUGAUCGAAAGCUUAUGAUACAAACUUAAAUCUUUAAAUUUUAAUAGUUUUUUUUCUGGUCUUAAAAAUUGGAACAUGAAAAGAUGAUUUCUUAUAAAACUGGGAAAAUACCACUUCCGCCAUAAUAUUUUAUAAACAAAGAUUAAUCGUUUAUAAGGCAUUUGCAAUAGUUCUGGUAAAAGGAAUAAGAAAAUCUGUUGGCAGUCGAACAAAUUUCCCACAGACGUCAUAGCCGAGCACAUGUCAUUUGUUAAAUAAGCAGAGAAAGUCAAUUGCAGACGGCCGCCAGGCUAAACAAAUGCAAAAAGAUCAUGAAAUAUACUCGAAAGUAUAUUUUAUAUAUUUUUAAGAGCAUGCAAUUUCACAAAAACAAAAUAUAAAUUAUCUAAAUGACUGUAGAAAUCUGCCAAAUUAAAAACACGCCACUGCAUCGCGAGUCGAGAAUCUGCCACCUAGUAUAUCUGAGAUAAAAAAUCGCACAUUUUAAGACUCAAAUGGGAAUAGACUGGUAUUUAGUAUAGACCCCAACAGCGAGGCGCCAUUAUUUUCGUUUUUCCUUUCCAUUUAUUCGCUAUAUAUAGGGAAGAUACAUUAUCGAUUCAUAUGCAGGCCAUGAAAAUAUUUGGGUUAUCGAUGUCUCGCAGAUACUUUGUAAAAUAUAUAUAUAUUUCGCUUUCAACAGGCCCUAGAAAAGAUUUCCUUCUUUGCACUUGAAUCUGGCAUUUUGAGAAAUGCCUAAAAAUACACAAGCCACGAGAUAGAGAAAAUAAUUUAUACGUUCAUUUGCGUCAAAGGCGCGAACACUAUUUCUAUUUGGGCUGCGUCUCCUAGACAAGAGAUCAGGCUUAAAGCUUCGCAGCUACUCAAACGAAUGCAAUUACCCAUAAUAUUAUCAAUGUAAACCAGACGUGUGCUUGUUGCUAUUGGAGAUUUUGUGUACACUUUGCGGUUGCGUAUUUUGUAUGCCUCGUUUUAUCAGUUACGAAAUCCACUGGGAAAAAAUUAAUUUACUAAUUCAAAUCUUUAGAGUAAAUUAAAACUCAUUUAAGUUAACACAAGAACGUAUAGCAAUGCAAUCGAACUAUUAUUAGGAAUUAUCUUCUUUGAUUUAAGAAUCGAAGACCCUAUUCAUCACCUUCCAAAGCAUAUCGCAACUGCUUGUCACCCAUGUAGACAUUUGGCCCCACAUUUUCCAAUGAGUUUUGACAGCCAAUGAAAGAUCUUUCCUUUGUCUUAAUUACCCUCCCCGAAAAUCAUCAAGAUCAACCGCAAAACGAGGCAGACGGUUCACGUCAAGGCCGUAGAAUUAUUAGCAUAGAAGCGUGAUCGCUUUCAAGCGAAAGGCGUCAUCUCAUAAAAGACACAAUUUUUUUCGGGUGUAACGUAACUAAAAAUAUUUCAACAUUACAAGCCUCGGAAUACGAAUGCACACAAACGUAAGGUUAUAUAUAGAGAUGGGGAGAUAUGUCUGAUGUUCAUGCAAAGAUCACGUGAAUCGAUCGGAAAAGUGAGUCUGGGGCAGAUGGGUCUGAUGUAAAAAUGUUGGCGCACCUUUAGCCGAAAAAUGUGAAAGAAUUUCGUAAAUUUACAAAAAUUUUAUUUCAUUCGUAAUUAAAUUUAUAUUUAUUGGUAGCGAUAGAGAUAGAUAAUUAAGAAAAACCUAAUCCACGACCGAAUUUUACGAGUUAAAACUAUUUUCAGUCUCUUACUAUUGGACUUUGAAUGUGCUUAGGGGAAAUUUCCGAAAAAUAUAAACGAUAGGUAUAUUUGGACAAACUAGAUUCUGUUGGGGGAAAUAAAAUAGAAAAUACAGAAAAUUUGGCGACAUAAAAUACGGAACUACCUUGAUUCGUUUACAAAAAAGUAGUUCGAUUGUAAGGUCAACCAGAAUGACCAUCAAAUUAGUCAGUUGUAAAAAUUUCAACAGGUCUUGCCAGAAUAUUUUUUUCGGACAGGUUAUUGACUUUAGAAAAUGAGGCAACUCGAGCAAGGUCUGCAAAUUGAAAACUAAGGAAAUUAAAAACCCAAACUUGUUUCUCCUGCACCCAUCAACCCAUCAUCUUAAUGCGGCUUGCAUAUUGAGGAGUUUACAAAUUUAUGGACUUUAAACCGGACCCACGAAAAUAAAUGCGUUCCGUAACGCAUACGGAUUUGUGACUGCCUUUGGGCUUUAAGAAAAGACAGUUGAUAGUCGUAUCUCGUUUCCCUUGGAGAAAAUGUAAGCCAAGUGGAGGAAAAUUAAUGAAAAUGUAAAUGAUUUUUUUAUUUGAUUUUUUCGGGUGAUCUCUUUCAAGUUGACAAGUUUUAGGAAAGCGGUCGGUAAAAAAACGAGACCCGUCCGCGGUCUCCGGUUUCUGGUUGGCCUGUUGGGCGUUGAGACCCACCCCACACACACACCAGAUAAGCGAUCGCGAAGAAACCUGUUGAAGAAAAUGCAGCAACAGCAGGCGCACACCGAUCAUGCCCUCGAUGCGUGAUGUCGGUAGUCGGUAGUCGUUACGAUCCGAUUCUGGCUGAGUCGGGUGGUACGAUCAGCGAUCUCCGAUACACCAUCACCACAUCACCGAUCUCUGGCAAUACGGCCGGCGUUCAAUUAACCGAGAGCCAGUCUGUCGAUAGCCAUUUCAAUUGUUGGCUAUUUGUACUUCUCAUAUAUAUUUAGCACUCGAUGCGUUCCCGCCGACUCUCCUCCAAUUUGCAGACCAAAUAGAGUCUGCUCUGUGUGGGGCCAUUAGUCGUAGGACUGCUCCAACUGACGGAAACUUUUCGCUUUUGGUUUGGCAACAGCGAAGAACCAUACAAAAAUCGAGCCCCUACCCAAGCUGAUUAGCCAAAAUUAGUCGCUAUAUCUUAUCGAAUUUAUGGCCAACUUUCUAAAUAGAACUUUUAUUGGAUUUUUUUUAGUAAUAUGAAAGUCAAAAGGGCGGAACAUUGUUUCAAAGAGUUUGGAAAGUAUUUAACUGCAGCAAAUACAAUAUAUUGUGACAUUAAAACUAUUAUUGUUAUCUUCAUUUAAAUUAGUUAAAAUUUUAAAAGUCCAAUGGAUUUCAGAUUCCAAGUAAAUUUCGUUGAAUAACUUAUAUAUUUUGAAUCACGAGUUAUCCUCUAUUUUUGAUAUAUCUUAGUGGGUGUGUUUUUAUUUACAUUUAAGCAAAAGAAUCGUGGGAAGAGUCGCCCAAUAAAAUAAAGGCAAA
rnacentral:sRNA from 1 species